UACGUAGGGUGCAAGCGUUGUCCGGAAUUAUUGGGCGUAAAGAGCUCGUAGGCGGUUUGUCGCGUCUGCUGUGAAACUCGGGGCUUAACUCCGGGCCUGCAGUGGGUACGGGCAGACUAGAGUGCGGUAGGGGAGACUGGAAUUCCUGGUGUAGCGGUGAAAUGCGCAGAUAUCAGGAGGAACACCGGUGGCGAAGGCGGCCCGCUGGGCAGAGACCUGACGCUG
rnacentral:rRNA from 1 species